rnacentral:SRP_RNA from 1 species
GCUGGGUGUGGUGGUGUGCACCUGUAAUCCCAGCUACUGAGGAGGCUGAGGCAGGAGAAUCGCUUGAACCCAAGAGGCGGAGGUUACAGUGAGCCAAGAUCGUGCCACUGCACUCCAGCCUGGGUGACAGAGCGAGACUCUGUCUCAA